GCCGGUGGUUGUUCCCGACGGACUAAGUGAGGUGGUGCCACCACCAAACACCGAUGGAGACCCGGUGGUUGUGCCGGUGGUUGUCCCCGUGGUGGGUGUCGUGGAAGGAAUCCCGGUGCUUGUCCCUGUUGUCGGUGUCCCCGUUGUUGGUGUGGUAGGAGUCCCUGUGGUUGGUGUUGUGGUAGGAGUCCCUGUGGUAGGUGUUGUUGGAGUCCCUGUAGUAGGAGUUGUCGGAGUCCCUGUACUCGGAGUUGUCGGAGUCCCUGUGGAUGGUGUUGUGCUUGUGCCACUGUAA
rnacentral:lncRNA from 1 species